rnacentral:ribozyme from 1 species
GCUCAGCUUGCGUCCCGAAGCGGAUUCGAGCA